rnacentral:lncRNA from 1 species
GCCGCAGGCAAGGGACUAAGGGGAGGGGGGCUCAGUGCCAGCUGCUUAAAAAUGCCCCUGUGGCAGCGAGGGGCACCAGAGGCUGGGUCUAAUUAGUUGAGAAGCAGUGACACCCCCAACCACUCCCCAAACAGGCUGGCUCCCGUCUCCAGGCCCCAAGGAGCCACACCUGGACCAGACCCCAGGAAAGACAUGUGGUGGAAACCCUACGGCCCUGGAGCCCAAGGAGAGCAACGGCUGUAACAAGUGCACAGGCAAGGGCGCUAGCUGGUGGGAGCCACCCCGCCAUGCUGAUGUCAGAGAAGCAAGAACUCUGGAGAAGCAGCCUCCUGGGACCAGAGGAGGGCCAGCAGCAGGCAGCCCGGAGACAGAACUAAUGUGUCUGGGGGUGAGAGGACGGGUGUGACUGCUGAAACUUCCUUUCUUGGUGAUUCCACAUCACUCCUUUCUGAUCCCUGAGCCUGUGCCACGCCCUGUGUGAUGUGCCGGGGACACCAGGCUCACCCACGCCUCUCCAAGCCUCCCAACAGAAGACAGAGGUCCCCCACAGCCAGAGACAUUUCCUGAAGACAUGGGGAACACAGAGGCAGAAACAGCCCAUCCACCCAGGAGCUGUCCCCCACACUGCCGGGAGCCGGCACCCAGAGCCGCCAGGUAAAACUGAGGCCACCUGGUUCAACAUCACCUUUCACAGAAGGGGAAGCAGCCACAGAAAGAAGGGCCUCGUUAAGAAGUGGAACCUGGGACCCCCAAGCGGUGUCUCUCAUCCUGACUGGGGAUCCAGAGUAGGAGGGAGCCUUUGGUGGGGUAAGUGGAAUGGGGCGGGGUGGGGGGUGGCCAUAGACCCCUCUUCUCAGUAAGGCCCUCAUGUGAAGGAGGCAGGGGUUGGGACAAGUGCUAAGUAUGCAAGACUCAAGGGAAGAGCUGCUGGAGCCAGGAGAAGCACCUCCCUCCCGGCCCCUCUGCCCCUCCUCAUAGCCCAGCUGCACUGACUCCUCCUCCAGGAAGCCUUCUCAGCUUCCCCAGGGGUGGGAACCUUUUUGUCCUCCAGGUGUGCUUGGCUGUCCUUUCUUGGGCUCUCUCUCUCUCUCUCUCCUCAUCCCACUUGAGUCUGCCCCCUAUUCACCUUGUGAGGGGAAUUUUCCUUCUACUCAAUCUGACCGAGGUCCUCCAGGUCAAGGACAGCGAGGCUCUCAGUCCCACUUCCCCUUGGCACAUAGAAGAGGCAGUGCGCUGAAGGGACAGGUGAAAUGAUUAGACCCUGCCCCCAAACCAAGGCCUGGCCAAUUGGACAGGGCAUGAGACAUUCAGCGUAGAGGUUAAAACGAGGGCCCUGGGUUAGGAACCCCAGCUCAGUUCUCAGCUCUGUACCCUUGGAAAAUUCCCUUCCCAUGGAGCUUUGUGGAUGCACAAGGA